UACGUAGGUUGCGAGCGUUAAUCGGAAUUACUGGGCGUAAAGCGUGCGCAGGCGGCGCGUUAAGACAGGUGUGAAAGCCCCGAGCUUAACUUGGGAAUUGCGCUUGUGACUGGCGUGCUGGAGUGUGGCAGAGGGAGGUGGAAUUCCACGUGUAGCAGUGAAAUGCGUAGAGAUGUGGAGGAACACCGAUGGCGAAGGCAGCCUCCUGGGCCAGCACUGACGCUCAUGCACGAAAGCGUGGGGAGCAAACAGG
rnacentral:rRNA from 1 species